GAUGAACGCUGGCGGCGUGCUUAACACAUGCAAGUCGAACGGAAAGGCCCAAGCUUGCUUGGGUACUCGAGUGGCGAACGGGUGAGUAACACGUGGGUGAUCUGCCCUGCACUUCGGGAUAAGCCUGGGAAACUGGGUCUAAUACCGGAUAGGACCACUUCUUGGAUGUUGUGGUGGAAAGUUUUUUCGGUGUGGGAUGAGCUCGCGGCCUAUCAGCUUGUUGGUGGGGUAAUGGCCUACCAAGGCGUCGACGGGUAGCCGGCCUGAGAGGGUGUACGGCCACAUUGGGACUGAGAUACGGCCCAGACUCCUACGGGAGGCAGCAGUGGGGAAUAUUGCACAAUGGGCGCAAGCCUGAUGCAGCGACGCCGCGUGGGGGAUGACGGCCCUCGGGUUGUAAACUCCUUUCGCUAGGGACGAAGCGUUUUGUGACGGUACCUGGAGAAGAAGCACCGGCUAACUACGUG
rnacentral:rRNA from 1 species